rnacentral:rRNA from 1 species
CCUACGGGGCGCAGCAGUGGGGAAUAUUGGACAAUGGGCGAAAGCCUGAUCCAGCCAUGCCGCGUGUGUGAAGAAGGCCUUCGGGUUGUAAAGCACUUUCAGUGGGGAAGAAAGCCUUGGGGCUAAUACCCUCGAGGAAGGACAUCACCCACAGAAGAAGCACCGGCUAACUCCGUGCCAGCAGCCGCGGUAAUACGGAGGGUGCGAGCGUUAAUCAGAAUUACUGGGCGUAAAGCGCGCGUAGGCGGUCUGAUAAGCCGGUUGUGAAAGCCCCGGGCUCAACCUGGGAACGGCAUCCGGAACUGUCAGGCUAGAGUGCAGGAGAGGAAGGUAGAAUUCCCGGUGUAGCGGUGAAAUGCGUAGAGAUCGGGAGGAAUACCAGUGGCGAAGGCGGCCUUCUGGACUGACACUGACGCUGAGGUGCGAAAGCGUGGGUAGCAAACAGGAUUAGAUACCCCAGUAGUC